AUGAAGCAUCAAGCUGAUCGCAAGCGGACAGAGCGCGAAUUCCCCAUUGGCGACCAAGUGUUAUUGAAGCUUCAGCCAUACGUUCAAUCAUCCGUUGUGAGCAGGCCGUGCCCCAAGCUUGCUUACAAGUUCUUUGGACCUUACAAGAUCAUUGGCCGCGUCGGAUCUCUCGCCUACAAGCUGGAAUUGCCUACUGGGAGUCAGAUUCACCCUGUCUUUCACGUCUCGCAGCUCAAGCCAUUCACUGUUGAUUACUCGCCCGUCUUCAAUCAGCUGCCAGCACCACCGGAUCUCACAGUCGGUGACCUGAUUCCACAAGCAAUCCUCGAGCGCAGACUUGUCAAGAAAGGUAACGCGGCAAUUCCUCAAGUGCUCGUUCAUUGGCGUACUCUGUCUCCGGCAAGCGCAACAUGGGAGAACUACAACGUCCUCAAGCAGCGAUUUCCCGAGGUCGACCUAGCCGAGGGGGAUCCAUCUCAAGAAGGGGCGAAUGUCACGCACUCCUCGCCAUCUAACCAGCCUGACGAGGAGGCGGACAGCGAGGCACCAGUGCCACAGCGGGAGGAAUCAGAGAGCCAAGAAGAUGGAGAAGAGUAG
rnacentral:rRNA from 1 species